GAACCGAGAGGAGCAGCUGGGACGCCGGAGACACCGAAACAGGAGAGAGGAAGAGAAAAGAUAGAGACUGAGAAUCGGAGGAGGCAGAGAAACGAACAGAGGAGAGAGAAGGAUAGAAAGGGGAACAGUUGAUUCAAAGGAAACCCCGCCAUGGCAGUGCCUUGGCACCGGCUGCGACCCUCUCCUCUGGUACCCGGAAAGGGUCUUCGGCUCCACUUCUGCCCCCGGCCGGGAGCUGCCGGCCGCCCGGGGCGGAACCUGAGAGUGUUGGCCCAGGAGGUCCUCGACAUCUGGGGACCCCUCUCCAUCCCAGUCCCCGUCAGCAGACCAAGUUAGAAUCCAGCCUGCCUGGCUCUUAGCUGUGUCGUGACCUUGGGCAAGUCACCCCAGUCCUGGAGAUCCCACGAACUGUGUGCAUCUUGGAUGGAAGUGUCAUGCUGCUCCCCUCAGGCAAAGACACCCAGGCCAAGACCAUUUCCUGCCCUGAAACUUGGGGCUCUCUGAGGAGAAAGCUUGGUGUACCUCGAGUUGUCCGAGGAUGGGCACCUUGACAAGACUAGGGACGAGUGAUGAAGGUGGAUUUUUGUCCUCCAGAAACUCCCAAGGGUUUCUUCCUUCUCCCAGCUUCCUUCCCAGCACCAAGUUUUCCAUUUUGCCUUCUGAUUUUGUAUAUUUUACUCCCACCCAAAAAAAACAAAAGGAAGGGCCCAAAACACGGUCUAAGAAAAAGUGGCCUGUUCUCAAAGCCUGAAAAAUCACAUUUUUCUGACCUUUUGGAUUCAUUUCUGCAAGGACUUAUUGGGACCAAAUACAACAUUUUCUGUAGAAAAUACCUGCUUCGGGAGGGAUCUGUUAUGCCCGGUGGCCCUUCCAUCUCUGUCUCACCUGGACUGGGAGCUCUUCAAGGAAACUUCCAGAUUGGGGGCUUCCUUUCAGCAGGGAUGAUGGGAAGUCUUUUGAUAAACUGCGAUGAUUUCCAGGCUGCCCCCCCACCCGCUGAUGUACACACUGUUGGCUGCUCUUCUGGAAAAUGGGGAUUAAGCUACGGACAGAGACACAAUCCCUGUAGUCAGUGAGUUUCCAGCCUUCCUCUGGGAAGUGUGGGAAAUGCUGAUGCCCACCUCAAGGGGUUCUGAGAGAUUCUGAUGAGAUAAUACAAGUAAAAUGCUUAGGCUGGGCUCGAGCACACAGCGAAUGCCCAAUCAGUGUUUUAUAUGUUCGGGGGUGGGGGGUGGUGUUUGAAAGAGCAUCUGUGGCUCAGGAUUUUGACAACCACACUACCAAGAUGCUGGAAAGCAGGUGCUGGGGGGAAAUAGGGUGAGGAGAAAUGCAAGAAUUCUAGAAUGCUGGUCAUGUCCCCAUGUCAGUUUGGUUUAGCUCAGGGUGUUUUUCCACAUCACUUAUUAGGCAAACUUUUAAAAUGAGAAACUGACAUUCCCUUGCAGAGGCCGAGGGAGGAACUAGAAAGAUUUCGUUUCGCUCCACAGUCAGGCCUGUGAGGCAGAGAGCCCUCCAAACAUGGCAGCUUUGGUAUCGUUCGUUUUUUUUUUUUUUUUUUUUUCUGUUUUAUGUAUUGGAAUUACGUAUAAUAUGUAAAUAUAAAAUUAUGUAUAAAACCUU